rnacentral:rRNA from 1 species
UCGGGAAUUUUGGGCAAUGGGGGAAACCCUGACCCAGCAACGCCGCGUGAAGGAUGAAGUAUUUCGGUAUGUAAACUUCGAAAGAAUAGGAAGAAUAAAUGACGGUACUAUUUGUAAGGUCCGGCUAACUACGUGCCAGCAGCCGCGGUAAUACGUAGGGACCAAGCGUUGUUCGGAUUUACUGGGCGUAAAGGGCGCGUAGGCGGUGUGUCAAGUCAGUUGUGAAAUCUCCGAGCUUAACUCGGAACGGUCAACUGAUACUGUCACACUAGAGUACAGAAGGGGCAAUCGGAAUUCUUGGUGUAGCGGUGAAAUGCGUAGAUAUCAAGAGGAACACCUGAGGCGAAGGCGGGUUGCUGGGCUGAUACUGACGCUGAGGCGCGAAAGCUAGGGUAGCAAA